GAGAGUAUAGCUCAGUGGUGGCGCAUGUGCUUAGCAUGCAGGAGGUCCUGGGUCCAACUCCCAGUACCUCCA
rnacentral:tRNA from 1 species